GACAGCUGCUGGGGACAGCCCUGGGUGACAGCUGCUAGUGUGGCUCUGGCUUUCCUGCUGUGCCUCUUUUCUGGUUCGUGUCCCAGGCCAGUCUCAGACUCUGCAACAGGACCGCGACCCCAGGGCCGGGUUUAGACCUAGGAUAUGAGGCAGGUGACAAGAGUGACUGUGCUCUUGCUCUUGGGUACUUUGAGCCUCGCUAAGACCACCCAGCCCGUAUUCAUUGAGUCCUACGAAGGACAAGAAGUGAACAUACCCUGUAACCACACCAACAUCGCUACAAAUGAGUAUAUCCACUGGUACCGACAGUUCCCCAACCAGGGACCACAGUUUGUUAUUCAAGGAUUUAAGACAAACGUGGAAAAUGAAGUGGCAUCCCUGUUCAUCUCUGCGGACAGGACGUCCAGCACCCUGAGCCUGCCCCGGGCUGCCCUGAGAGACACUGCUGUGUAUUACUGCACCGUGAGUGACUCACAGUGAGUCAGAUGGGGCUGCACCUGUACGAUAUCCCC